rnacentral:siRNA from 1 species
UAUUCCCGAGGUUUGCGCGCGUGU